AGAUCAAGAAUCCAAAGAAGAAUGAGGAAAAGAAAAAGUUGAGGAAUAGUCCCUAAAUUUCAAUAUCUUCUACAAAUUAGCCGGAUUGACUUGAAGUGAAGUGGGUAGAUCGGAUCAACACAACAAAGCACACUAUCGAGAUCAAGUCCGGUAGCUUUUGUUUUAUGUUUGAAGAUUUAUAUGGCAUGUAUAGAGUUUAAAUGAAAUGAAGUAAAGAUGUUAUAAACUAGUUAACAACAUUUUGUACUAAAACAGUUUUUGGUUAGUAGCAGUAGUUUGAGUUUGAAAAUUUACCAUAAA